rnacentral:rRNA from 1 species
UAGGGAAUUUUCGGGCAAUGGGAGGAAACUCUGACCGAGCAAUGCCGCGUGAACGAAGAAGAUCUUCGGAUUGUAAAGUUCUGUUGUUGGGGAAGAAUGGUACUACUAGGAAAUGAGUAGUAUUUGACGGUACCCGAUUAGAAAGCCCCGGCUAACUAUGUGCCAGCAGCCGCGGUAAUACAUAGGGGGCAAGCGUUAUCCGGAAUUAUUGGGCGUAAAGCGUGCGUAGGCGGUUUAUUAAGUCUGUCGUAAAAUCUCGAGGCUUAACUUCGAUAUGCGAUGGAAACUGGUAAACUAGAGUACGGUAGGGGUAAGUGGAAUUCCAAGUGGAGCGGUGGAAUGCGUAGAGAUUUGGAGGAACACCAGUGGCGAAGGCG